rnacentral:lncRNA from 1 species
UGGGGCCUCUAUUGGGUCUACUCUUGCUCAUUUUUUUAGGGCCCAUACUUUAUAACAAAAUCGUGGCCUUCCUAAAAGCCCAAAUCGAGGCAAUAAAAACAGCGCCCAUACAGGUCCAUUAUAAUCGGUUAGCCAUGGCUGAUCAGGAUGAGUACCUGGUGAGAGGGCUGGUAAGCCAAUGACAGGCAACUGAGCAAGCGUGCCAUGCUAUGAAAAAGGCCCUCGUGCGCCGCCUAAGACAGGUGCCAGAGCUUUAAUUCUCUGGUUAACCGAGGACGGGUAAGGUGCACGGUGCAGACACGUUUGUUGCUCUGACCCAAGACAGGCUCAGCCCCCGCAGGCUUGGCUCUCCUGACGCCUUUCUUCUAAUUAUAAUUUUAAAGGGAGGACCUGUGGGGGGGCCUUGGCCCCCCCCGCUGGAAUUCUUGAGUGCCUAUUACGGACAUGCCCGGGCUUGUUGCAGAUCUACCCGGCAACAAGGAAGUAGCCCCAGUGCCCUCCCCUUGCUCCUCCCCUCUCGCUCUACAGUAUAUAUGUUGUAGCAGCUCCUGCAAUAAACGAGACUUGAUCAGAAACCUGUCUUGUCUCCAUCUCUCGUGUCCCCUGUCCCCUCUCAUCCUCGCUCCCCCUCUAGGGUCUCCGUUGACUUACCCGCGGGCCGGGACAACGGGCGAAACCUCUCCCCCCACGUUAUUAAGAGACUGACCCAUAGUUAUAACUCAGCAAAGAUAGAAAAUUACCCCCAGCUGGACACACUUACCAC